rnacentral:hammerhead_ribozyme from 1 species
AUCCAGCUGAUGAGUCCUAAAUAGAACGAAACGCGCAUCCUAGAU